UACGUAGGGGGGCAAGCGUUGUCCGGAUUCAUUGGGCGUAAAGAGCGUGUAGGCGGCCAGGUAGGUCGGUUGUGAAAACUGGAGGCUCAACCUUCAGAGGUCGACCGAAACCAUCUGGCUAGAGUCCGGGAGAGGAGAGUGGAAUUUCUGGUGUAGCGGUGAAAUGCGCAGAUAUCAGGAGGAACACCUGUGGUGUAGACGGCUUUCUGGACCAUAGCUGACGCUGAGACACGAAAGCGUGGGUAGCAAACAGG
rnacentral:rRNA from 1 species